rnacentral:rRNA from 1 species
UGGAAACGGUAGCUAAUACCGCAUAGCGUCGCAAGACCAAAGAGGGGGACCUUCGGGCCUCUUGCCAUCGGAUGUGCCCAGAUGGGAUUAGCUAGUAGGUGGGGGUAACGGCUCACCUAGGCGACGAUCCCUAGCUGGUCUGAGAGGAUGACCAGCCACACUGGAACUGAGACACGGUCCAGACUCCUACGGGAGGCAGCAUG